AUUGAACGCUGGCGGCAUGCUUUAUACAUGCAAGUCGUGCGGCAGCGCGGGGGCAACCCAGGCGGCGAGCGGCGAACGGGUGAGUAAUACAUAGGAACGUAUCCUGAAAUGGGGGAUAGCUCGGCGAAAGCCGGAUUAAUACCGCAUACGCUCCACGGAGGAAAGCAGGGGAUCGCAAGACCUUGCGUUUCUGGAGCGGCCUAUGUCUGAUUAGCUAGNGGCGGGUAAUAGCCCACCAAGGCGACGAUCAGUAGCUGGUCUGAGAGGAUGAUCAGCCACACUGGGACUGAGACACGGCCCAGACUCCUACGGGAGGCAGCAGUAGGGAAUUUUGGACAAUGGGCGCAAGCCUGAUCCAGCCAUGCCGCGUGAGUGAAG
rnacentral:rRNA from 1 species